rnacentral:rRNA from 1 species
UACAUGGGGUGCAAACGUUGCUCGGAAUUAUUGGGCGUAAAGAGCUCGUAGGCGGCUCGUCGCGUCGACCGUGAAAACCCGCGGCUUAACUGCGGGCUUGCGGUUGAUACGGGCGGGCUAGAGUUCGGUAGGGGAGACUGGAAUUCCUGGUGUAGCGGUGAAAUGCGCAGAUAUCAGGAGGAACACCGGUGGCGAAGGCGGGUCUCUGGGCCGAUACUGACGCUGAGGAGCGAAAGCGUGGGGAGCGAACAGGAUAGAAAC